AGAGUUUGAUCCUGGCUCAGGACGAACGCUGGCGGCGUGCCUAAUACAUGCAAGUCGAGCGAAUCUGAGGGAGCUUGCUCCCAAAGAUUAGCGGCGGACGGGUGAGUAACACGUGGGUAACCUGCCUGUAAGAUUGGGAUAACUCCGGGAAACCGGAGCUAAUACCGGAUAAUAUUUUGAACCGCAUGGUUCAAAAUUGAAAGACGGCUUUUGCUGUCACUUACAGAUGGACCCGCGGCGCAUUAGCUAGUUGGUGAGGUAACGGCUCACCAAGGCAACGAUGCGUAGCCGACCUGAGAGGGUGAUCGGCCACACUGGGACUGAGACACGGCCCAGACUCCUACGGGAGGCAGCAGUAGGGAAUCUUCCGCAAUGGACGAAAGUCUGACGGAGCAACGCCGCGUGAACGAUGAAGGCCUUCGGGUCGUAAAGUUCUGUUGUUAGGGAAGAACAAGUACCAGAGUAACUGCUGGUACCUUGACGGUACCUAACCAGAAAGCCACGGCUAACUACGUGCCAGCAGCCGCGGUAAUACGUAGGUGGCAAGCGUUGUCCGGAAUUAUUGGGCGUAAAGCGCGCGCAGGCGGUUUCUUAAGUCUGAUGUGAAAGCCCACGGCUCAACCGUGGAGGGUCAUUGGAAACUGGGGAACUUGAG
rnacentral:rRNA from 1 species